rnacentral:lncRNA from 1 species
CAUAAAUUGCAUCUUUCUUCACCCCUCCUGAAUAUUCUUUUAUAGCCCUUUGAUAUCAGACCUCAUUAUGAGUGGCAAAAGAAUAGCAAAAAAAAAAAAAAAGAGAGAGAGAAAUUAAUUCUUUUACCAUUUGGAUUUCUUUUUGUAAAACAGUUCCUUAGGUUUGCUUGGAGUUUCUUUACAAGGAUGAUAAGUCCCUCAUUUCUUUUAGAACCCUCCUUCCUCUAAAUCUCAGGUCUGUAAAAUCUCAUAACUCAUGGUGGUUUCAGCAGUUGUAGUUUUCAAGGACCAUUUUAAGAAUGGCAGUAAUUCAUGUUUAUCUAGUUUGUAUUGUAAAUGAACUAUGAUACUGAUUUAUAUUGUUAAAUGUGUGUUUAGGAAGGCAUAUAUUUUCUAGCCAGAUUAAUCCAGCAUCUGCUGUAUCCAUUAUGGACUGACUUUGAAUGUCACAGUGGAGGCCUUGAGCAGUAAGAUGGCUUAUAUUUGAAUAUGACAUCGUUUUGUAAGCAGCCAACUGCUUUAAGGCACAGUCCUUGCUUUAGUGAAGUUGAAGUCCCUAAGGAACUUGUGUGGCUCCUUCAUUCUCACCGUCUGUGGUUCAUACAGUGUCCUCAGCUAUGAUGAGAUCACAACUGGGCAAGAUGGAAUUUCCUUGUUUAAAUUUUCUCAUCGGUUUUUCCCACACAGAGUUGCUAAUGACUAGCAUACUAUAAACUGUGUUUUCGUUGUAGUUCAUUCACAUGUCUUCACAAAUAUAUGGCAGGCACAUAAAAGAGAGAUCAGUUAUGGAUGAUUUUAAGUGCAUAUUAAACAUAAACCAAGUAUGAUAUUAUAAUUUAAUUGCAUGAAGUAAUGGUUUAGUUUUGUGUGUGUGUGUGUACAGAAAGUAUUAUAAAUACAUAUGAUAAAGAUAUUAUUUAUAACAGUAUUUGAAAACUCAAAUCUAUUUAAUG